rnacentral:rRNA from 1 species
GAUGAACGCUGGCGGCGUGCCUAACACAUGCAAGUCGAACGGUAACACGCUUAGCUUUUUCGUUGGUGGGGAGGGGGGGCCAGAGGGUGAAUAAAUCGAGCGUAACCUGCUCCCUCGUGGGGGAUAACGGAAGGAAAGUGAGGCUAAUACGGGAUAUGCUGUACCUGUCGCAUGAUGGGUCUGGGAAAGCUUUUGUGUCUGUAGGGGAUGGGCUCGUGGCGGAUUAGCUUGUUGGUGGGGUAACGGCCUACCAAGGCGACGAUGCGUAGCUGCCCUGAGAGGAGGGUCGGCCACACUGCAACUGAGACACGGUCCAGACUCCUCCGGGAGGCAGCAGUAGGGAAUAUUGUGGAAUGGGGGGAAGCCUGCUGAAGCAGCGCCGCGUGGGUGAGGAUGGACUUCGGCUUGUAAAGCACUUUUUUUGGGAGAGAAGAAGGGCGGGUUCAUUUGUGGGUGUGUUGACGGUACCUAAAGAAGAAGCGCCGGCUAACUACGUG